GAUAGAAGCCAAUGGCAUGCAUUUAACAUGGACCUACUGCUCAAAAACAUUCGCAUCCUAUCCACAGUCACCAGCAUCCACCACAAUUAAAGGAAAAAGGGCUUCUGUUCUGAGCAAGUUCUACCAAUUACCCGAAGAAGGAGUUUUAUCCUGUAUGCUUUCAGCAUCCAAACUACCACCCCUCAAAGUCUACAGAAAAGCUUCACUAACUUCAGAAGGCAUUCACGAUCUAUCCCAGUGAAGAUCUUCAGAUCUGAUAUACGUACACCCUCUCCCUUCGCAACAACAAGCACACUGAAAAGGGAUAGGACUUAGGCAGAGCAAAGAAUUCUUGCAAAAUGUCUUGGAAAAGAUAACUCAGACCACUGGAGUGAAAUGACAUAUUUUCUUUAGAUAAUAAUAAAAUGUGUCCCUAAAAUGUCA
rnacentral:lncRNA from 1 species